UGGGGGAUAUUGCACAAUGGGCGAAAGCCUGAUGCAGCGACGCCGCGUGGGGGAUGAAGGCCUUCGGGUUGUAAACUUCUUUUGCUCUGAACAAGGCAUGCCUUUGGGGUGUGUUGAGUGUAGGGGUCGAUUAGCGCCGGCUAACUACGUGCCAGCAGCCGCGGUAAUACGUAGGGCGCGAGCGUCGUCCGGAAUUAUUGGGCGUAAAGGGCUUGUAGGUGGCUGGUUGCGUCUGUCGUGAAAGCUCAUGGCUUAACUGUGGGUUUGCGGUGGGUACGGGCUGGCUUGAGUGCAGUAGGGGAGGCUGGAAUUCCUGGUGUAGCGGUGGAAUGCGCGGAUAUCAGAAGGAAUACCGGUGGCGAAGGCGGGUCUCUGGGCUGUUACUGACGCUGAGGAGCGAAAGCGUGGGGAGCGAACAGG
rnacentral:rRNA from 1 species